UGCGUAGGCGGUUCGUUAAGUCUGCUGUGAAAGCCCUGGGCUCAACCUGGGAACUGCAGUGGAUACUGGCGGACUAGAGUGUGAUAGAGGAUGGUGGAAUUCCCGGUGUAGCGGUGAAAUGCGUAGAGAUCGGGAGGAACACCAGUGGCGAAGGCGGCCAUCUGGAUCAACACUGACGCUGAGGCACGAAAGCGUGGGGAGCAAACA
rnacentral:rRNA from 1 species